UAGGGAAUCUUCGGCAAUGGACGAAAGUCUGACCGAGCAACGCCGCGUGAGUGAAGAAGGUUUUCGGAUCGUAAAACUCUGUUGUUAGAGAAGAACAAGGACGUUAGUAACUGAACGUCCCCUGACGGUAUCUAACCAGAAAGCCACGGCUAACUACGUGCCAGCAGCCGCGGUAAUACGUAGGUGGCAAGCGUUGUCCGGAUUUAUUGGGCGUUAAGCGAGCGCAGGGUGUUUCUUAAGUCUGAUGUGAAAGCCCCGAGAUCAACCGGGGAGGGUCAUUGGAAACUGGGAGACUUGAGUGCAGAAGAGGAGAGUGGAAUUCCAUGUGUAGCGGUGAAAUGAGUAGAUAUAUGGAGGAACACCAGUGACGAAGGCGGCUCUAUGGUCUGUAACUGACGCUGAGGCUAGAAAGCGUGGGGAGCAAACAGG
rnacentral:rRNA from 1 species